CACUAUGCCUAGCCAUAAACAUUGAUGGUAAACUACACCUACUAUCCGCCUGGGGACUACGAGCAUCAGCUUGAAACCCAAAGGACUUGGCGGUGCUUUAGAUCCACCUAGAGGAGCCUGUUCUAGAACCGAUUACCCCCGUUCAACCUCACCUUUCCUUGUUUUUUCCGCCUAUAUACCACCGUCGUCAGCUUACCCUAUGAAGGACUCAUAGUAAGCAAGAUUGGCACAGCCCAAAACGUCAGGUCGAGGUGUAGCGUAUGGAAAGGGAAGAAAUGGGCUACAUUCCCUAAUUACAGUGAAAUACGAACGAUAAACUGAAAUACGUAUCUGAAGGAGGAUUUAGCAGUAAGCAGAAAAUAGAGCGUUCCGCUGAAAUCGGCCCUGAAGCGCGCACACACCGCCCGUCACUCUCCCCAAGCUUAAUAACCCUUAAUUCCUAAAACCUAAAAACUGCAAAGGGGAGGCAAGUCGUAA
rnacentral:rRNA from 1 species